GUUAUCCCAUCAGUCUCAGACAACAAGGUAGGUGGUCGGGGAAUGUCCAACAGCAACUGGAAGACCAGACAUGCUGAAUGUCUCCUCAUAUUAGUCUUUGGUUUCGCAAUCCAGAUGCAGUUCUCUACUGAUUUGUGUGACAACUUCAUUUUGGAUAAUGAAUUCAUACUGAAAUGGUUUCAUUCUGGCUCCAUCUUGGGAGAUGAAAAUGUGCCACUCCUUUUAGUAAAGGUAAAGGUAAAGGUACCCCUGCCCGUACGGGCCAGUCGUGUCCGACUCUAGGGUUGUGCGCCCAUCUCACUUAAGAGGCCGGGGGCCAGCGCUGUCCGGAGACACUUCCGGGUCAUGUGGCCAGCGUGACAAAGCUGCAUCUGGCGAGCCAGCACCAGCGCAGCACACGGAAACGCCGUUUACCUUCCCGCUAUAAAGCGAUACCUAUUUAUCUACUUGCACUUUGACAUGCUUUCGAACUGCUAGGUGGGCAGGAGCUGGGACCGAAAGACGGGAGCUCACCCCGCCGCAGGGAUUCGAACCGCCGACCAUGCGAUCGGCAAGUCCUAGGCGCUGAGGUUUUACCCACAGCGCCACCCGCGUCCCCGCCACUCCUUUUACUGUCCUUUAAAUUUUGAAUCCCAUUUCAUUACCUUUUAAAUUUGUAUUCUUAUAGAAUUGGCUGACAAAAAAACCCAACUGAAGGCUGAUACCAACGCAGGUUCUCUAGAAAAUCAGUAGCCCUCUGCAGUGGUUAAGGCUAGAUGGCCUGACUUUCCAAUCUCAUUACACAAAAGCUGCUUCUGAAUGGCAAUGAUCUGCGAAUUGCAUCAGCUAAAGCUGCCAUUUCAGCCUGACUUUCUCAAACCAAAACAGAAAGCAGCAGGGGAGGUAAAUCUGACAGGUCGCAUUUGGUGUCACUUGAGUGAAAAGAUUAAUAUUAAUGGUGGAGAAAUAUCAAAUUAGCCAGUCAGGCCUCUUUUUUGUACUGGCUGGUGUGUUGAGGGCCAUUCUUUCUCCUGAGAACAAUGAGGCUCAGGUGGCUGAGAAACCUGUCAUGACUUCAGACAAAACCCGAACAAAAUAACCCAGAAAUUGUUGGCACUUGCAUUUUUAUACAUUUUUGUUGCGCUCCUAGUAUCUCCCCUUUGAAGAGAGAAUCCUAUCUCUGAGUAGCUGGCCAUUCAUCCAGCCAAUUCCAUCUGGAGUGAUCUUUCCUUUUUAAUUGAACAGAUUUCUCACCCAGAUUGGGUCGCCGCUUGACAGACAGCUUUAUGGGGCUGUCUAUAAACUGACUUCAAUACAGUUUUUUAAAUAGAUAUUCAAAUGAAGCCUAUUUCCCAUUCAUUUUUUUAAAACUCCCUUUCUAAAGCUUCUAAGUCACCCCAUGGGGAGCUGGGCUCAAGGACAGUCUCUGCAAUGGAAGAAAAGUAUUGUGCCUUUCUCUUUAGUAUGCAUCUUUGGGGAUAUGUAUAUUAUUUGUUGUGGCAGUGGCUUAUGGAGGGAUUGUCUCCCUCCUGCACCCACUUCACCCCACCCCUCCACUUAUUCCAUUUUGUUUGCUUUUGCCUUUUCUGCUCAUUCUUAAUUUGGUUACACGCAUCCUGCAACCUCUGCAUUUUAAUUGUUUGACUCUCCAAUGGAUCUAUCACUAGUGGUCUCCUCAGUGAUAUUCAGAAGAGGUUUCUUUUAUUGUUCACACACACACACACACACACACACACACACACCAUGAAUGUAGCAUUUCACAGGAUUUGCUAAACUGGAUUAGCCUAUAAACCCAUUGAUCCUACUGCCCAGCCUCCACAACUGUUUCUCUAGGGGAAAUGGAAUAGUUUCCACAAUCACCACACCAGAUGGUUUCUACUCAAGCAGCUCUGUAAAGGUGGUCAGAUGCAUUGGCCAAUGUAAGUGUUGUCAGAUAUGGAGCUAAAGCAUACUUUAAUGCUGAAUCCUACAAGGAGUAAGCCCCACUGGACGCAGGGGUUGGGGCCAUAGCUCAGUAGCAGAGCACCUGCUUUAUGUGCAGAAGUUCCCAGGUUCAAGAAUGGAAAAACAAAUUGUGGCAUUUUUAAUAAAAAGCUGGGGUUGUUUAUACAGUCCCUAUAUAUUUGUCUUAAAUACCAAAUGAUAAAUAAAGGGACUGAAAAUGUGCCAACUUAUUUUUCUGAUUCCAAAAGAAAGAAAACCAAAUUCAACCGUAAAUUAUAAGCCCUGUUAGUACUGCUUAACACCAAUACUUCAUUUCCACUCACGUCUCUCCAACGUGCAUGCCUCAUUGCUCAGCUAUUGAUUUUCAUUUCCCACACGCAACUUAAAUACUCACCAUAAAAACUGGGCAUAGCACUUUAAACAAUUGCUUAUCAACAAUGUAUUGGCAUUCCUUCCUUUUUGUUCAAUAAGAUGCAACUGGAACAAAAUAAGCAGCACAAAAUAUAUGGUAAUCGGCAGAGAAGUUAAUGCCCAAUUCCUUUCUGUUCUUGCCACAGUUGCAUUAGUUGCUAUACAGAUAAUAAAUAGGUAUGGUUGAAUAGAAAAUCCCAUCAUUGAUGACAAGAAUGUUGGCGCUUUUCAGAGAGUGAUGAAAUGAGUGUUGAAUAGUCUGAACAUCAUAUGUUCCUAGAUAGUGGAAACUACUAAGUUGCUUAUGAAGUUCCCUUUGUGCUGUAACUUAUGAUGCGUUAUUGGUUCCUAGGAUGGUUCCUAUUUAUUUUCCUAUAUUUCUGAAUUAUAUAUAUAUAUAUUUGCAGCAAUAUAUUCUACAUUCUCAGAACCCCAAUUGAAAUGGAUCUAGAAAAUUGUUUUCAUCCAAGGGAGCCUGGAUUGUAUAUUCCACACACUGGCCAGAGUUUCAACAGAAGUGCCAGUCAUAAUAGCUGAAAUAUCCCCCAGGGUCAUCUGGAAACCAGUUGAAUCCAUCAGCCUCUGAGAGUGGACCACCUUAAUAGGUCCCCUGCUUCUGCAGAGGGAAACUGCUGAAAGCCUAAAAUUCAACAGGUGAUUUGACCAUGACAAGGGACUGAUGUUAAUAUCCUCCACUUUCAGAUCACAUUUAUUCCUGCCCAGUCAAGAAAACCAGGGUGCCACAUCAGGCCAAUGGCAUCUUAGGACAGCUGUAUGGUUGUCAUGGUGGCCAUGAAGUCCUGAGGUGUCCCAGAGGUAAUAUUACCUCCUGGACAAAAUUAUAUUUAUUUUACUUUAGCACUCAUCAUCCAGAGGAACCAUCUAUUCUCUGAUAAUUUAUACGAUGUUAGACACAAGCUAUAGUGGAUUGCCAUAAGUGCAGCUGGCUGGGCCUGGGAUCCCGCAAACAAAUUGUCAGCAAUGUGCUGGAUAGAAUUGCAUUCUGUGUUCCAUCUGUGCUGUGGGCCAGGUCCAACCCUGCCCUACCUAGUUUCCUUUCCUCACUAUGGAAAAUGUGAAUGUGAGCAGAGUGUGAUGUUGACACUUUUUUGCAUGGGUUUAAAUAUUUCUUUUUUAAACCUCUAGAGUGCUUUGGAUUCCUAGGCCACAAUCCUAAACUAUUAGAUUGUUGGUUACAGUGGGCUUAGGCGUGCCUUGUUCUGCACAGAAUGGGAAUCCAAGUGUUUACCAUUAUGCAAAGGGUCAUGUUGCACAAUUCCAUUAUUAACAUAAUGGAACUAGGGUGGCAUUCUAAGCAUCUGGGGUGCUAUUUGUACAAUUAACACCUAUUAAAUCAAUCCAUGGUGAGCAUCUGUUUGUACAAAUUAUCACAUGGAGGCAGGAAACAAAAUGGACAGCACAGUCUUUGGAAAGGGUGUGUAAAUGUGGUGUGUCCCACAGCUAUAAGAGUGUCUCUUCAGUCCUUUACACUACCUGGAAAGUUCACUGGGGCUCCCCACUCUGUAAUGGGUAAAGGUAUGUGUCUCAUGGAAGUCAAGCAGGGUAUAGUAUCCUAUUGAAAUCAGUGUUUACUUUUCAGUGACCUCGUCGCCUUUUCAGUGACCUCGUCGCCUCGUCGCUGUCUAUCUGUUGCCUAUUGCUUACUAACUUCCUGGAACGGGAAUUUGGGUUUUCUAGCUUAGUAAGCCCACUCUGGGUGUAUUUGAACGCUUCUACAUAUCUUCCAAAACUUCUGUGUGCAUAUUAUUGUUACCAUUAUUUACAUAGGAAUCUGCUUUAUAUUGAGUCAGACUGUUGGUCCAUCUAGCUCAGCACUGACUGGCAACAGCCCUCCAGGGUUUCAGCUAGGCAGGGGUCUCCUUCCUGGUCCUAUCUGGUACUCUGCCCCGAUCACUCCUCUUCCCCAGCUCUGCUCUGCAAUCUGGUCAAGUGCUUUUACCUGGCUGGGAUGUGCCUUUCAAUUGUAAUGCCUCUUGCUUGUCUGGAAAGAGGGUGUGUGUGUAGAAACCUCUGCCUGUUGCAUAACUGGAAUGUGGCCUACUGUGCAAUGAUUAAAAGGCACAGCUCUUGGUCAAAUGCGCUCAUUGAAAAUGUUCCCCAUGCCUGCCUUAGGAGAAGAAAACUUCAUCUGUUAUGCCUGUUUAAUGGCCAAGUGAUGAGACCUUCUACAUAUCAGCUGGGCGGAAUUCCGCAUGGAGUGGAACUGCAAUUUACCUCCCUCUUUCCACACUACUAGUGUACAAGGAGGUUGUGCACCACCUCUGGUGUUGGUGGUGGCAUGCCUCUGAAUGCCAGUUGCUGGCGAUUGCUGCUACACUCAUAACCUGCUUAUGGGCUUCCCAUAGGUGUCUGAUGGUCACUGAGAACAGGAUGUCUGGACUAGGUGGGCCUUUGGUCAGAUUCAGCAGGGCUCUUCUUAUAUUCUUAGUCCUGCCAUCUCCCAGUAGGGCUAGGAAAACCUGGAGAGCUAAAUUAAUAGCCUCGUUUAGCAGAUUCCUGUGUUUCUAUGAAAAUUGCUUAAAUAAACAGAAAGCACAGAUCUGCAAGAAUGUUGUGAAUCACAGAAGAAAGCUAUGUGGCUUGGGCCACUUCCAAGGAUACAGAAUAGAGUUAUGACCACUGUCUUUCCCAAUCGGGUGUCUGGAGGCACACAGCCAACCACAGGUCAGGCAACUGCAGACAUGUCUCUUCCAUUUAAAUGUGUUCCUUCCUGGGACAUACUAUGUACAAAUACCCAGCAGACACACUGGUCACAGCCUUCCCCCUUUCUGGGGGGACGCAGGGGGAUGCAUACCCCUAAACAUUUUGUGAAUCUAAGUUUGGCCUCAUUGCGGGGCGGUAUUUCAAUAUGAGUAGGAUAAUGAGAGUACCCCUAAACAUUUUUUUUCCAGAAAAAAGCACUGCAAAUACUUUUUAAAAUACUGUACUAUGUGAAGUCACACAUUAGUUUGAAGAUUGUGGCUUGAGCAAGUCUUCUAAAGGUCAGCAACUUAUCUGGCUCUGCAAAACUGAUGUAGGAUAGAUAUCCUAACAUUUUAUUUAAAAUGCAGUGUCUCUUCCAGCAAACAUGGAAAUUCUCAGAUAAGACAGGUUAUUUACACUCAGUACUUAACAGCACUCAAAGGGACGCGGGUGGCGCUGUGGGUAAAACCUCAGUGCCUAGGACUUGCUGAUCGUAUGGUCGGCGGUUCGAAUCCCCGCGGCGGGGUGAGCUCCCGUCGUUCGGUCCCUGCUCCUGCCAACCUAGCAGUUCAAAAGCACUCUUAAGUGCAAGUAGAUAAAUAGGGACCGCUUUAUAGCAGGAAGGUAAACGGCGUUUCCGUGUGCUGCGCUGGUGCUGGCUCGCCAGCUGCAGCUUCGUCACGUUGGCCACGUGACCCGGAAGUGUCUUCGGACGGCGCCGGCUCACGGCCUAUAGAGCGAGAUGAGCACGCAACCCCAGAGUUGGACACGACUGGCCCGUACGGGCAGGGGUACCUUUACCUUUACCUUUUACUUAACAGCACUCAGUAAGUAUAUGAUGACUUUCAUAAGUAGAUCUCCUAGAGAUUAGUGUAAGUGCUAAUCCUCCUGAGUAGAUGCCCAUUAACAGGGCAAAUUUUCGCCCACCUGACAGCAGGUUGUGAUAUCAGUGGUCUCUUUUUGUGUGUGCCUUCUUAGGUUUUGUGAAGUGCAAGCAAAGUGGAGACACAGAUGAUUUUCACGGCUCAGUGCUGACUUGCUCCUGCAAACUGCAGCAUGCGGUUUUGCUCUUUUGAUAUGUGUUCUCACAAUUUGUACCAGAAAAACGCCACAGUUUCCUGCCAACAGCAUCACAACAGAACAUGCUUCAGAGGAAGUUAGUAAGGCAAGUAAGGUGCAGCUUUAAUUUCAAGGUAUUUGAUUCAGAUUUUUCUUCUCUCUUUUCUCUGCUUGUUACAACUCUAGCUCUCACGAACGUUGACGAGCACCUUGACUACAGAGUUACAAAGGCUAUGGAUCAAAAGUUAUAUUGGUGACAAAGUGCAAAGCAGCCCCCUCCUGCCCUGCACAGGGUUCAGAAUGUACAGUUGUAUUUUUAGGUGGCCAGCUAUCAUAUUUUACAGAAGGCACUCCUCUGUUCUGGAGGGCUAUCAGAGGACAGUCCUCUGUUUCAAGGGGUCCUCUGCUCAAAGGGCUGUCUGGUCCAAGUCCGGUUUAAUGAUAAAAUACCAGAAGAUAAAGGUUGGGCUUUGGCGUUGCAGCAGACACACUGGUCACAGCCUUUCCCAUUAAAGUGAGACGGAUUGCAUUUCUAUUUUAAUUAUAAUAAUCAUUCCUAAAUUGGCAUCUGUACCCACAAAUCACCACAUGCCAGUUUUCUGCAAACCAGUAUCCUCUUUCAUCCCCUUUCAUUUUAUUUUUUGGGGCCACCCUGCUUGCAUUCGGUUUGUACAUUUUAAAACAUUGGAUAAGCAAACCGAGCCUUUUGUCCCCCAAUGCUAAGGCCUGGUGGUCUGCAUAUGUAUCUGAGUGAAGCGAUGCAGUCCUGAGGUAGUAAACUGAACUUUGUUACUUCAGUCUUCAGGUGGGCAUUACAUUUUCAAUGCCCCCCUACUAUAAAAACUCCCUGAAAACUAGAAUGAUAUAUUAAAAAAAUUACCUUCAACUGGAACAACAGCGAGGGCUAGUAACCUGCCUCUAGUUUUAUUCUUGCAGGGGCCAAUUUACAUUUGGGGACAUUAAAAGCCUUUGUGGUGCCUUAAGGGAGUUCAUUCCACCACCUCAGGAUUCGACUACCUCAUGCUGCUGCACACACAUUAACCAGGCAUUUCCCCCCUCAAAGUGGUGGCGAUAAUUAUUUAUGUCUCCUAAUGAGGCCUUUAUGCACUACUGGAGUACAACCUUCUCCUAACCUUAGUCAUAAAACAGCUCAUUUAGUAUGAAGGAAAUUAUAUUUGUAGCUUUUGCUUAAUGGUAAUGGUUUCCUGACUUUGUAACAGGAAAUAGGGUGGAGGGCGAAAGCAAAGCAGAUCCACCGCCUGACCAGUUCAGAUAACCUGUUCCCCACACAUUGAAUUAUGGUGCUCUGCAGGGAGACGCUCUCAAUAGAAACCCAUUUAGAGGCAGGUCUCUCAACCGUUGCAGUUCGAUCUCAUAAACGCACUUAGGUUGUGACCAUAUUUCAAAAAAGCCCCCAAAGGCUGAGCAACAAUAAAAGAAUGUUGUUGUUGUUUUCAUGAAGGAAGAGGAAAUGCUAUGAGAAAAGUUGAGUUACUGGGCUGCUGUUUCACUGGCAACGUGGAAAGGGGGGGGAGGGGGGCAGGCAAGAGUGAGGAGUGAAGUCUGUUUUCAUUGGCUUUUGAAAAAACACAAGGCCCUGAAGGUUUUACUCAGCUCCACUCUGAAACUUUGAAUGCCUGCAUGUCUUUGUACAUUGCUGCUCCUUCCUUCAUAAGCAAGUGCUGGAUUUGAUGCUAUCUAGAUAUCAUAAAUCCAGGUGAAGAAGCCAAGGUUUGUAAUUUACUGCUAGGAACCUCCACGUGUCCCAGCAAUACCCAUUUCGAGCCUCAUCUUGAUCAGCUUCUCGGUUUUCUGUUUCAUGUUGCAAGACUGCCUUUAUGUGCAUAAGAAGAAGUGCUUGGAGUGGCGUUGGUGCGUUGUAAUGCAUCAGUGAAGCAAAUCUGGUCCCAAAUUUUUGUGACAUCAGGGUGGCUCUUUUUGCAAUGGCUCUGCGAAAAGUUAAGAUCUGAGUCUGAAACCUCUAACAUCGGUUGUAAGGGAGACAUUAGAAUCUGAAUUUUCUGCUCCCAAUACAUAUUGUUUUAUGGUCUGUGAACCAUUGCCUUCCUGAUGUGCAAUGAAGUAAAUGUCAGUCAAGAAGUAAUGUGAUUGCAGACUUCAGUCUCACCCAAUAUAUUUUGAUGCUUUACCUUAGCUAAUGUUAUGUCAUUUGUGUAUUCUAAUUUGUUGAUUUAUAGUUUUGAUCACUUUUAGUUAUUGUUAUUAUUUAUUAAAUUUCUGUACUCCCCUUCAUCCGUGGAUCACAGGGUGGUUUACAUUAAAACCCCAAAAUGCAUAACAUAGUAACAAUCUAAAUAAUACCACCCCCACAGUUUAAAAGACCAUUGAUUGUUUAAUUAGUCAAAGGUCUGGGAGAAGAGGAAUGUUGUUGUCUGGUGUCUAGAGAUAUGUACUGAUAGUUAAUUUUAUGUAAUUUGUCUGUUCUAACUUGUGUACUGUACUCUACUCUGGCAUCUAGUAUGAUGAAGGGCAGGCUAUAAAUGUGCUCCAUAAAUAAUAGAAUGAUAGAGGUACAGAUGCCACAGUUAGUUUGAUUUUGAGAAUAUCAUAUGACAGCACUAAUCCUCACAAAAAGCAAUGAGUCCACAUUGAAAACUGCCAUGGAAUUCAUGCAGACUGGUCCUGCAAUGAAUUUUAUUCCUAAAUACAAAACAAUAGUUUAAAUCAUCCAUAGUUCUGGAUCUGGUGCAAUGCAGGGAUCCAAAGAGAUCCCUAAUAGUUUGUGAGAGGACUCAGAAACACCCUAUAAUAAUCUUGUGGCAGAUGCCUCCCUAAUUGGAACUAAUUUCCAUUUCUGAGAUAACACUGAGAGGGGAAAAUACAGCCCCUGGGUAAUACGCUGAUGCAGUUCAGAAAAUUGUAAGCUCUUCAGUCACUGAACUGGAAAUGCAAGCUUGAUCAAAAGACCAAGAAAAUGAACCGUGCUUCAAGAAGUAGCUUUGAUAGGUCCAGAAAGAGCAUUUUCAAUCAUCACACUUGGCUUUUGGAGACACACUGUUGAAUCCAGAGAAGUCCAAAUGCAUAACGGUGCUUUUCCACCUCUUCUCUCAGAACCACUGCAAGAUAUUUCACUGCCUGAGACAAGGUGCUCCAGCUGCUACCUUUCUAUGGACUGACCUGCUCCUUUUCUUCCUCUUCAUGCUGCUUGCUUCCGAGGCCAACUCACCCAUAUUUUGCUCUGAAGAACAGGGUUCAGAAUUCUAAGGGCCAACCCAACACGUGGGUUCCCAUUCCACACACAGAAGCCAGCUGGCAGCUGGAUGUUACUUUAGUUGCAUUCACACAUCAGUUUAUUCCAUUUCCUGGAGUUUCCCUAAUUAUUAAUUUUCACAUUAUAUUUGAGCUUUUGCACAACUUCAGAGCCACUUCUAAAAAUACAGCAGAAUAUAGUGAAAGUUUAGCUUCAUACAUGACAUGGGUCGAUGACUCACAGCUCUAUUUUAACAUCUGAAUCAGGUGUGACAAUGCAGGUUCCUGACCAGUGUCUGAACACAAUAGUGGGCUGGAUUAGGGCCAGUAAGAUGAGUUUAAAUCCAGGCAAGAUGAAAGCUGUCAUGAGCCCCAAGGAGAGGUCAUGGAGGAGAUGGAUGGAUCCUGAGGAUUCAGAGGAGCUUAGAGAGCUCUGAUGGGAUGGGGGAGGUGCAAUCAGGGCCAUAAUAAGUGCAGGGGUCCAGCAGUUUGGGGCAUAGAGAUAUGGAUCCGGGGGGACGGGCUGAGCAGGAGCAUCCCAUUCCAUGAUAUCAAACACCUCUCCCUCAACACCUCCUGCUAUGGAGCUGCUUCCAGCACCUCUUCCCAUUUAAGUGUGACUCCACUUCCAUCUCCAGAGAUGCUGAGGGAGCUGCAAUGGCUAACAAUAGGCACAGUUCAGGGUUUUGCUUUCAUCAUUUGAAACCCUAAAUAAGUUGGGAGAAAGUUACCUAAGGGCUGCCUUGUGCCUAGCAACUGCGCGCCUCAGAUGGGACAUGCUGCACAGGGGCACUUAGUAUGUACUAGAAACUGGGCUUUUAAUGUUGCAGUUCCAGCCCUCUGGAAGUAGAUACUAACUGAAAUUAGAGAAGUGCCUAGCAUUUUAAUAUUUAGUAAAUGACCAUUGGCAUGGUCUGUGAUAAAUGUCUAUUGGAGACAUUUUUGUUUACGAAACCUUUCCCUGAAAUGCGAGUCAGUCAUUUCAUGGAAUAAUAAUUGCACAAAUGUAAAAAUGGUUUCAUUGCCUUUAGUUUACAGAAUUUGAAACUUUUUGUCAUCUUUUGCAUGCUCCCUACAUGCUCCCCACCACAUACCUUUUUGUGCAAAGCUCCUGAUCACAAGGUGAAGCUCUGUCGAUCAUCCAGUGUAAAAGGCCCUAAAGCUUCUCGCUCUGCUGCCUUUAGUUCUUUUAGCAGCAGCGGAAACAACAGUUCCAGGUCAGGUCAGGUCAGACUUUUAUUGCUUAUACCAAAAACCUCUGCAGAAAUUCAAACAGGCUCAAAGGGACCAAAAACACCACAUUUGAAAAUAUAAAUACUGAAAAUACUGUGUACAAAAAACGCAGUCAGGAUCAAGGACAAACAACUACAAACAACAAAACAAGGGCUAAAAAAGUAUUAAAAUGAAUAAACAAAUUAUCAUCAAAUCAGGCAUCACCAUAACUAUUUAUAGCUGUCUGUGAAACUAUAUUUGCAUGGAUCCUUGCAAAAGCUGGUGAAAAAGAGAUACUCUAUACAAAACAAAACAUCAGUAUCUGACAAUAGAAUCUGAAUGGCCCAGGAGUAAUAUUUUUUGAACUGAUGGAGAAGUCCUAUUUUCCAAAAACGUCUCUACUGCUGUUUCAGAAAUAAUUUUCAGAGUACUGUACCCAUUGCAGUAGCAAUUUAAAAAAGGACUAUUGUUUUCAAUACACACACGUCAAGAAAACAUAUUUGGCAAAACACAUGGCAUUUGCUCUCUACAUUAGCUCUAUAUAUGCUAAUUGAGAAGGCUAUAUACAUUUCCCUUCAUGUAAACUCUGGACAGAAUAGGCAGUCUUCAUUUUUAAGUCCUCUUCUAUAUGAAAUUGAAUAGCAAUAAAAAAUUAAUGACAAAAAGAAGAGUAGGGGGCGGACCUUUGGCUCCCCAGAUGUUGUUGAACUACAACUCCCAUCAGCUCCAGCAAACAUGGCCAAUGGCCAUGGAUGAUGGUACUAUUUCAGCAACCAGGGGCAGACUUUGGUCUUUCAUAUUUCAGCAGUGCCCUGUGCGAGCCCAAAAUUUGGAGCUCCCUGCCUCUGCUCUUCCUUUCUGCUAAAUUCAUUACGUCAUUGUUGCAACACCCUACAGUGCCUCGGUGGCCAGUGUGGCGGAAUUGGCUCCACUGCCCUAAAUCUGCCUCUGCAGCAAUGUCUGGAGGGCCAAAGGUUCCCCAUACCUGCAGUAGGGUAGUAACUAACUAGGCAUGCUUACUUAAAGG